GAGGAAGUAAUAGUAAUUUUAAGGUCGCUAAAAUAUGUUUUGCUGUAGCUGCUUAUCUGCUGGUAGAGUUUGUUUAUCAAUGAUGUUAACGGAGACAUAUUAUGCUUCUCCUGCUUUUUCAACCUUUUAAUUGUGUUACAAUGUUGGAUGGCCAUGUUAAAGAAUGCCAAAGUGUUAGAUACUGAGAUAAGCAUAUGUGGGAGAAAGUCCUGGGGGCAGUUUUGGCUGCCUUCCAACGCCAGCCUUUUGUUUUGCUUUUUCUGAGCAGGACUCAGUCUCUCUAACACUAAGAAUGAUGUCUAUAAAAUAGGCACUCUGCUCCAUGCUCAGGCUGCUCCCUCUCCUCCCCUCCUCCCUCUGCGCAACUGUUCUCCCCCUCCCUUUCCACCGGUCUGCCUGAGUGCGUCUCAGCUAAGAGGAGUUUCUGGAAAGUUAACUUUGUUCAGCGUCCCCAUGGAGGCAAGCACUUGACAGAAAUGGAUGUGCUUUGUUUUCCAGCCAGCAAAAGCCAAAUACGGCCAUGUAUGUUUGUUCAUGCUAUACUUAACAGAGGACUGUUUACUAAACAAGUCAAAGUAGGAAGCUGGCUAUGUGGCUAAGCUAAUGCUGACGGACUGUACCGUUCUGUCAAUACAGUGGAGGACUCUGAAGCACAAUCGUACAUCACAACAUAUGCCUUCCACUGCAAAGCUUCCCAAAAAACAAGAAGAGACAAUGCACUGCAAAUCCUGUGGAAAAUUAGCCAACAUUCAAAACUGUUGAAGGAAGAAGUCAUUACAAGGCAAGACAUCAUAUCUGGCAUACAACACAAAAAGGGAUGACGAUCCUCACACGUCUUCCCAGGUAUCUCUAACACCAGCUAAUAAAGCUGCAGUAUGCAAGAUAUCUG